rnacentral:lncRNA from 1 species
AUAAGCAGCCUCAAUUUUCCCCUCCUCUUAAAAGCUUCCCUUCUGACAUCACCUCACCAAAGCUGGCUUCAGCCCCAUGGCUGUUAUAAGGACCCUGCAUGGACUCCUGAGCAGAAAGCAAUAGAUUACUUUGACUUCAGUCAGCAGGCAGGCUAACUUAACAAGUCCAGGAAUGGCAAGGCUGGGCAGAGAAGUGCAGACACAUCCUCUGUAAGUGUGGCAGCUGUUAAUGGUUGCCAACUCAACAGAAUCUAACAUCAAGGAAGAGACAGGAUUCUGGGAGGAAGUUUCCAGAUUAAGCUAACUGAGGUGGGGAGCCCCACCCUGACUGAGGCUGGCAUCACCCCGAGGGCUGGAUCCCUAUGCCCUCCACCACAUCCGAGGCAAGCCAUGCCAGAUGAGCAACUUUGAUUCUCCAUUUCCUCUUCUCUGCGGCCAAGCUCUAAGAGUGGUAACACCUGGUCUUGUGUAGACACUGAGCACAGGGCCUUGACAUGUGCUUCUAGGACACCAGGUAACACGAUAACACUGUCUCCAGCAGUGUAGAUCUGAGAUGUAGUGUUUUGUGACUGGAUCAUCAGAUCUUCUCUGGCCUCAGUUUCCCUGGCAGAAGCAUGGGGGUGGUAAAGGUACUGACGUCAUUGAAUGAUGAGGAAGGGGGCUGCUCACAAGAAUCAGUGUCGGGCCACCAUGUAGUAGACCCUUGAUUUUAUUCCUCCAGUGUCAUCUGUGUCACAGAAAAACAGACAGGUUGACGGCAGCACCAGGCUUGUUAGUGACCACAAAGACUCAUGGGACCCAGGCCAAGCUCACAGCCAGUGCCCUUCAGAUGACCAACUGGAAAUGUGGUCCUCCCAAGUGUGUCCCCACGACCCAAAAGAAAC